GAAUAUUUUAGAGGAUUUUAUUUCACCAUAUUUAUAGAAGUGGUGACUCAGAAAGAAAUACAGUAUACUAUUGUUAGGAAGAAUUAAGCAUCUCCAUACCAGCCUGAGGUGGCUGCGGAAAAGUCUGACCUACUGACCAUGAAAUAUUACCUGUGAAAGAAAAGAAAAGAAAAGAAAGAAAGAAAGAAAGAAAGAAAGAAAGAAAGAAAGAAGUUCAGAGGCAUACCCAGAGCACAUAAUAAUUCUAUUAUGAUGCAAUUUAUAUAAUACAUCACACACUUUUAUAUUUACCACAGUGAUUACAAUACAACUAAUGUGGAAGAUUAAACAGUCCCUUAUUUUCCCCAUCAUAUUUGAAAUUGGAAUAAAGUUCAAGUAAAAAUG